rnacentral:rRNA from 1 species
GUGGCGACGAUGCGUAGGGGUUCUGAGAGGAAGGUCCCCCACACUGGUACUGAGACACGGACCAGACUCCUACGGGAGGCAGCAGUGAGGAAUAUUGGUCAAUGGGAGAGAUCCUGAACCAGCCAAGCCGCGUGAGGGAAGACGGCCCUAUGGGUUGUAAACCUCUUUUGUCGGAGAACAAAACCCGGGACGUGUCCCGGACUGCGUGUAUCCGAAGAAAAAGCAUCGGCUAACUCCGUGCCAGCAGCCGCGGUAAUACGGAGGAUGCGAGCGUUAUCCGGAUUUAUUGGGUUUAAAGGGUGCGUAGGCGGUCCGUUAAGUCAGCGGUAAAAUUGCGGGGCUCAACCCCGUCGAGCCGUUGAAACUGGCAGACUUGAGUUGGCGAGAAGUACGCGGAAUGCGCGGUGUAGCGGUGAAAUGCAUAGAUAUCGCGCAGAACUCCGAUUGCGAAGGCAGCGUACCGGCGCCAGACUGACGCUGAGGCACGAAAGCGUGGGGAUCGAACAGGAUUAGAUACCCUGGUAGUCCACGCAGUAAACGAUGAAUGCUGGUUGUCCGGGUCGAAUGAGAUCUGGGCGGC